CCAACUGUCUGAUUGAGAAAUCAAAGUUGAAAACUUUCAACUUUGAUUUGAAAGUCGCACGCUUUUUUCAGACUUCUUGUCACCAAGCUUGGUAACAAUCUCUUUAUUGGCAAUAAAUCGUCAAUAAUAAGUCGUAUCUAAUAUUUUCCAUCUGUUUGUGACAAUGGGAAUGUACAGUACGAAAAGAUUUCAUCAAAUUAGAUGAAAUCUUUGUUGCACUAAAAUUCAUUAAAAUUAUACGUUUUAAGAAUACCAUGUGCAAUUUUCUUUUCUCUUAUUCUUUACAUUGAAAAGAGAUUAAGCUGCAAGAAUGGAUAUUUGAUAGAUCAAAUCUCAACAAUAACUGUGGAAUACUCCAUGCUCUAAUGAAGAAUUCGAAGCCAGUUAGCGAUAACAGGUAACGAUGACUAGGCGAAACAACGAGAAUUGUUCGCUAGCAGCCUUAACAUUGUCUUAUCACUUGACCGCUAUAACCGCUAUAACGUUCCCUCACUUGAGAGAUAGAAUGAAAAAUGUGCACAUUGCAUGAACAGAAAAAUAUUAUUGAGAAGAAGAAGAAGAAGAUGAAGGGAUUCUUAUUGAUCGUCGCUGGCAAGAGAUUUAAAUUCAAUCUCAAUGAUCAGAGAUCAAUGGGACGGGUCAGCCAUGAAAAGGACAAUGAGAGUUCAAUCAGAGGUGCUAAAAAUGAACGAAAAAAAAACAAAAUGAUGAAAAAAGGA